rnacentral:misc_RNA from 1 species
AAGUCGUAACAAGGUUUCCGUAGGUGAACCUGCGGAAGGAUCAUUACAAGAAACGAGGCUACGUGCCCCGCUCUUUACCGUGUCUACUGCACUAUCUGUUGCUUCCUGGCGGCGGUUUGCCUGCCGCCAGGGACAUUGUAAAGCCCUGUAUAAGCAUUAAAAAACUGAAACAAACCGAAUCGUACAACUUUCAACAAUGGAUCUCUUGGUUCUG